rnacentral:rRNA from 1 species
AUUAGACGAAUCAUCUGGAAAGAUGAAUCAAAGAAGGUAAUAAUCCUGUAGUCGAAAAUGUUGUCUCUCUUGAGUGGAUCCUGAGUACGACGGAGCACGUGAAAUUCCGUCGGAAUCUGGGAGGACCAUCUCCUAAGGCUAAAUACUCUCUAGUGACCGAUAGUGAACCAGUACCGUGAGGGAAAGGUGAAAAGCACCCCGGAAGGGGAGUGAAAUAGAACCUGAAACCGUGUGCUUACAAGUAGUCAGAGCCCGUUAAUGGGUGAUGGCGUGCCUUUUGUAGAAUGAACCGGCGAGUUACGAUUUGAUGCAAGGUUAAGCAGUAAAUGUGGAGCCGUAGCGAAAGCGAGUCUGAAUAGGGCGUUUAGUAUUUGGUCGUAGACCCGAAACCAGGUGAUCUACCCUUGGUCAGGUUGAAGUUCAGGUAACACUGAAUGGAGGACCGAACCGACUUACGUUGAAAAGUGAGCGGAUGAACUGAGGGUAGCGGAGAAAUUCCAAUCGAACCUGGAGAUAGCUGGUUCUCUCCGAAAUAGCUUUAGGGCUAGCCUCAAGUGAUGAUUAUUGGAGGUAGAGCACUGUUUGGACGAGGGGCCCCUCUCGGGUUACCGAAUUCAGACAAACUCCGAAUGCCAAUUAAUUUAACUUGGGAGUCAGAACAUGGGUGAUAAGGUCCGUGUUCGAAAGGGAAACAGCCCAGACCACCAGCUAAGGUCCCAAAAUAUAUGUUAAGUGGAAAAGGAUGUGGCGUUGCCCAGACAACUAGGAUGUUGGCUUAGAAGCAGCCAUCAUUUAAAGAGUGCGUAAUAGCUCACUAGUCGAGUGACACUGCGCCGAAAAUGUACCGGGGCUAAACAUAUUACCGAAGCUGUGGAUUGUCCUUUGGACAAUGGUAGGAGAGCGUUCUAAGGGCGUUGAAGCAUGAUCGUAAGGACAUGUGGAGCGCUUAGAAGUGAGAAUGCCGGUGUGAGUAGCGAAAGACGGGUGAGAAUCCCGUCCACCGAUUGACUAAGGUUUCCAGAGGAAGGCUCGUCCGCUCUGGGUUAGUCGGGUCCUAAGCUGAGGCCGACAGGCGUAGGCGAUGGAUAACAGGUUGAU